rnacentral:lncRNA from 1 species
ACAAGUUAAGUUAAUGUGGAAGUCAUUAGGCCCAUUUAAUAACUUGCCAUGGGCCCAAUAAUAUUCCUGACGCUUUAUGGAUCAACAUUACUAGUAGUACCAGGUUCCCAUGUACCAUGAAGAAGUUGGAUGCUACCAACCAAAAUAAGAAGUUGAAGGCCCAGUGAGAUUGGGUUAAUAGUUCGAUUUUAGAAAGCAAAAUCCAGGAAUCUAUCAAUUACCAAUGUACUUUGGGAGCGGAUGAGCGGGAUGGUCAGCGGG